UAUCUCUCUGUUUUCUUAAUGUUAGACCCAAACUCUCUCUCUAUCUCUCUGUUUAUCAUCAUUCUCAUCAUUUUCAACCCCCCCUCAUCUGACUCCCUCUCCGAAUGAUUCAAGUCCAUCACCUCCUCUCUCCCCCAAAGGACACCAAAAAGUUGUUGUGCUAUAGAAAGGACUACAAUCUUACUCGAUGGUUAGCGGGUAACUCAUCUCAUUCGAGCUACUCUCAUUCGACUCGGUGGUCAGCGAGAUAGUACUCUCACAGCCGAUCAUCUCACUACUGGAAAACGUGUAUAUAUGCUGGAUUACUUACCAGAAUACAUCUGAAUCUCAGGUAAAUUCUGGAUCACAAAACUAGGGUUUGAUGAUUGAGUGAAUGGUUCAGAAAGAUUAAAAGAGUUUAGGGUUUUGUGUUUUUCCCUUUUGCAUGAUUGUCUGAUGUAUUCCAUGUAUAUAUGUUCUUCAGUAUUUGUUGUUAAUUGGCAGACCAUUCUACUUUUCCGGUGAAUUUUCCCCCAAUAAUUUUUGCUGCUAAAUGUUGGUUUGGUAGUGAAUUUUUGUUGCUAAAUCUUGUUUUGCUGCUGAGUUUUUCCCCAACCAUUUGUUGCUACUAAAUGUGGUUUUGCUUUUGAAUGUUGCCCCAAGAACUUUUCCCCUUAAAUCUUGUGAAUUUGUGAAUGGUGAAUUUGUCUGCUAAGUCUUGUGAAUUUGUGAAUGGUGAACUUUUGCAGUGAAAUCUUUUGGCCCAACAUAUAGCAAUUCCGAUUUCGACCCAACCUUUGUUGUAUUCCGGACUUGAGUUUCAUGGGUUGGUGUUGUUGUUUAUCUCUUUGUCUAUUGGGUUGUUUCGAGUAUGUUUGGAAUAGGUUGGUUGCUUAAUUUUCAAACCUUUUGUUGCCCAAAAUUUGGCUCCUCUGCGCGAGCGGCAUUUCUUAUGCUUGAGCGGGCUUUGUAGAUUCUGAGUAUUUUGCAGGUCUGCAAAAAUACUAGGAGAGCACACCCUACGCUUGAGCGGUCUUGUGCUUGAGCUGUUACUUCUCGAGCUCGAGUGAUAGGCUUUUGUCUGCAAAACUACUGAACGUAUGUAUUUUGCGCUCGAGCGUCACUUCUUGUGCUUGAGAGGACUACGCGUAUAUCAGUUUGUGAAGGUGCUGGUGACAUGCCUUCUCCAAGGACUUAGUUUGGGAGGACCUGGGAGCUGAAAGCUCUAUUUUGUUGUUUUGUAUUUAAUACUUGUACAUGCCUAGGGCUUUAUAUGUAUAAAACUUAAGACUUCCUCUUUUGUUGUAAUCAUGCUUAGCCUUGGAAAGCUGUAAGCCCGUAGGGCAAUUAUUUUGUUGAAAAUUAAGUUGGUACCACAUGCUAUGGAUUCAGAGUAGAGCUUAUGAAUGUAUAUCGCAUGUGUCAUCUUUUUAUAAGUUAACUUUGAUUGAUGAAAGUCUAUUAUUUUGUUUAUGUCAUCUUGUAAUAGUCAUUUGCGGAUGAAUUGUGUUGUUUAUUUCGGGGGCGUUACACAACAUGAUAAUGGUGAAUUGGUGUAUGUGGGUGUACAUUUACCAUUUAGGCAAAGAAGUCUCUAUCUAUGGUGUCUAAUACAUGAUAAAUGACCUUACCUGUGUCUCUGUCUAUGGUGUCUAAUAUAUGAUAAAUGACCUUACCUUUGAGUAGUGUUGAAUAUGUCAAAUGCAAAGAAUGUCCAGGGGCAUAGUAGUGGAGUUGCAUGAUGGAAAUCAAAAACCAUUGAGGAGCAACCUAAUAGUGAAUACAAAUUUAUAGACGGUCUUGAAAUUUUUGUUUUGUAUUUGAAAUCAAGAAGACUGGAAGGGAAUUGAAAUGGGUUUCGUAUUGUUUAUGCAUAUUUAAAAUGGCUUAUUCUUCUACUAACAAUAGCAACAGUAGAUAAAACCAAGAAUGUGUGAUUGUGGGAGAACAACUGCAAUGUAUAUUGUACGAAUCAAUAAGCAUGGAAAUCAAGGGCAUUUAUUUUUUGUUUGCCCAUCAAAAUAUAGUAACAAGGAACACUACAAUUACUUCAAGUUCGCGGACAAUGAUGAUGAGGAUGUUACCUUCACAAACCAUUCCAAUACUGGACCUCGUAAAGCUAUACGAACAGAAGAAUUCAAUGAUGUAAGGACAAGGCUUUCUAAGAUGAAAAAUGAGAUUCAUGAUCAUGGUAAAAGGCUUCAAAUGAUGGACAAGAAUUUCAAGGCUAUGAUAUAUGUGAUUAUAUUAUGUAUCAUUUUGUACUUUAUUUAUAUAAGACACUUGACUGCUAGUUUUUGGAAAAUUUGAUGAAUGUAAUUACGGAUGUAAUAGACAUAUUGGAUGUUAGGAAUUUAAUUGAAUGCGGUGUUGUUAUGGAUUGUGGAUAUAUGUUGUCAUUUUCAAUACUAUAAAAGCUUCACUUUCAGAAU